rnacentral:ncRNA from 1 species
AUUAAAGCUUUGAAAAGAAGAGUACAUGUCACGGACGUUUAAAGAGAGCCCUGUUUGCUGAAAAAGGGUAAUGAAAAUGAGAUGGAAGAUGGUCUUAGAGCAGAGUAAGUGAGCCAUGGCAAACUUGCUACGGGCGUGCCCGUUACAGCACAACAGUAUACGUAAAGAUUCUUUUAAAAUCUUAAUCAAGUACUGGUAGAGGCUGUUGUUGUGAAAUAGCAGCAAAUCAAGGUGGUAACACGGAGGUUUAAGCUUUCGUCCUUUUG